rnacentral:rRNA from 1 species
UCCAGACUCCUACGGGAGGCAGCAGUGGGGGAUAUUGCACAAUGGGGGAAACCCUGAUGCAGCGACGCCGCGUGGGUGAAGAAGCGCCUCGGCGCGUAAAGCCCUGUCAGCAGGGAAGAAAAUGACGGUACCUGAAGAAGAAGCUCCGGCUAACUACGUGCCAGCAGCCGCGGUAAUACGUAUGGAGCAAGCGUUAUCCGGAUUUACUGGGUGUAAAGGGAGCGCAGGCGGCCUUGCAAGUCUGAUGUGAAAGGCCGGGGCCCAACCCCGGGACUGCUCUUGGAACUGCGCGGCUGGAGUGCAGGAGGGGCAGGCGGAAUUCCUGGUGUAGCGGUGAAAUGCGUAGAUAUCAGGAGGAACACCGGUGGCGAAGGCGGCCUGCUGGACUGCGACUGACGUUGAGGCCCGAAAGCGUGGGGAGCAAACAGGAUUAGAUACCCCAGUA